rnacentral:rRNA from 1 species
AGCGAACGCUGGCGGCAUGCCUAACACAUGCAAGUCGCGCGGGUGGUUUCGGCCAUCAGCGGCGGACGGGUGAGUAUCGCGUAGGAAUGUAUCCCGAGGUGGGGGACAACCCUGGGAAACUGGGGCUAAUACCGCAUGGGGCCUGUGGGUCAAAGCCUUAGGGCGCCUUGGGAGCAGCCUGCGUCCGAUUAGGUAGUUGGUGGGGUAAAGGCCUACCAAGCCUGCGAUCGGUAGCUGGUCUGAGAGGACGAUCAGCCACACUGGGACUGAGACACGGCCCAGACUCCUACGGGAGGCAGCAGUGGGGAAUAUUGGACAAUGGGCGCAAGCCUGAUCCAGCAAUGCCGCGUGGGUGAAGAAGGUCUUCGGAUUGUAAAGCCCUUUCGGCGGGGACGAUGAUGACGGUACCCGCAGAAGAAGCCCCGGCUAACUUCGUG